GUAAAGGUUUCGACAGGGAUCUUGCAGCCGGAGAAGCUAUCCGCAGGCGAUGCGUCAAAUCGCAAACCUAAAUUAAACGCUAAAGAUAACAUCGUAGCGUUUCGUGCACCGGUUGCUCAGGCAGCCUAAGCGCGAAACCGCCGUCUGAGUACGGCAUGUCCGCCUCGCUAUCCCUGCUGAGUGAGGACCGGGCAUCAUCCCAGCAGGAAACGACGCCGGUUAAGCUUUGCGCCGGCGGGCGUAUCAUGAAGCUACCGAGCGAACGUGGUUGUCGGUGUCCGGGUUCGUGCGGGAAAUGGUCUUAGACCGGAAACAGCGACUAUGAUAGUAGAAGGACGGGGAAUAGGUUUUUGGACGCGGGUUCGAUUCCCGCCUGGUCCACU
rnacentral:tmRNA from 1 species